GGGACGCCUGAGCGCUUGUGACUCGGGAUGACUGACAAAGUCCCUGGCCAGGUUUGUUCUUCCCAGGCUGUCCCAGUGGCUUCUGAAUUUUUGGCCCAUGUCUUGGGUGUAGAAACUACAAGAGAAUUUUAGUAGAGCAGUGUGUUGUUGGCAAGCAAGUUAGAUCAUCCCACUGAGCUUCUGUGACUUUCCUUUUUGCAGUUAUGGUUCCAAACCAGAGUUUCCCUAGGAAAUAAACACGGAGGGGCUGAAAGGACCUGGGGCCAUUGGGGGUGGAUGGUCAUAUCCAGGGUACUUGAUGCCAGUGCCAACUGUUCCCUGCACGCUUCCACGUCCACGCCAACAUUGCAAGGCUAUGUCAAGGACUGGAACAGCUACAGUGAUGACACACCUGAGGUGAACACAACUCCAGCAGCAUCCUGGCCCCUCAUGGGGCAAGUGCACGUGGAAUCUGGAAACUUCACAGCUGAGCCUGCAAAGGUGCUCAUGGCGCGCAGAAGUGUUUCUGGAUCCAGUGGUAGGAAGUCAUUUCAAGCAGCUUGUGAACAUUCAAAGAAGCAGCUCAGGAUCAUCCUGCUGCUUCUGAGAGCAGGUGUCGGGCCCCAGGCUGGAGGCCACGUGCCAGGCUGGCAGGAUUUGUCCACUGUGAAGCUCGACACCCCCGUAGGCCCUGUGCUGCCCGCCCAGAUCCCCCUGCCUCAGGAUGCCCUCCACACCCUCCGAAUUCCCAGCCGCUGCUCUGGGGCCUGCACAGAGGGCUUGGGCCCAGCACCUGGAAGCUCCAAAGAGGCAAAUGGGGUCAUGUCCAGGUUUUGUCAGAUCGCUUCCGAGGCUGCCCUCUUUGCCGUGGCUGCUGAGUGCAGAGCUGGGCAUCUGAGUGGACAGAGUGGUGCUCCGCUUCCUUGCAUCUCCCGGGCCAUGCAUGGUGACCUGUGCCCACUGCAUCACUCCUGUGUGCCCUGUGCAUGUGACCGUGUCUUUCCCGUGUAUUCAGUGCUGCUUCAUGUCUUCCAGUUCUGCUUUGUGGUUUGUGAGUGACCAGUGCAUCCAGUUCCUGCUGCAGCAGCUGCAAUGUGCACUGUCCUGCAGGAAGCCCUCGGGGUAGGGCCUGGGGGCUGUGGGAAGCUCAGCAACAAGGUAAGGGAAUGGGCAGCUUUGUUUUAUUUAUUUAUUUAUUUUUACUAUUUAAUUAUCUCACUUUAUUACACUUUAAUUAAAAUAUCGAU